AUACGGAGGAUGCGAGCGUUAUCCGGAUUUAUUGGGUUUAAAGGGAGCGUAGGCGGGAGCUUAAGUCAGCGGUUAAAUGGUGCGGCUCAACCGUGCCCUGCCGUUGAAACUGGGUUUCUUGAGAGUGCAAGAGGCGGAUGGAAUUCAUGGGGUAGGGGUGAAAUGCUUAGAUAUCAUGAAGAACUCCGAUUGCGAAGGCAGUCCGCUGGGGCACGUCUGACGCUGAUGCUCGAAGGUGCGGGAAUCAAACAGGAUUAGAUACCCUGGUAGUCCGCACGGUAAACGAUGAUUACCCGCUGUCGGCGGCAGACAGUCGGCGGCCAAGCGAAAGCGAUAAGUAAUCCACCUGGGGAGUACGCCGGCAACGGUGAAACUCAAAGGAAUGGACGGGG
rnacentral:rRNA from 1 species